rnacentral:piRNA from 1 species
CACAUCUGUAUCUCCCAUGGACAUGGUAC